rnacentral:rRNA from 1 species
UACAGAGGUCCCAAGCGUUGUUCGGAUUCACUGGGCGUAAAGGGUGCGUAGGUGGUGAGGUAAGUCGGAUGUGAAAUCUCCGAGCUCAACUCGGAAAUGGCAUUGGAAACUACCUUGCUCGAGGGUUGGAGGGGGGACUGGAAUGCUUGGUGUAGCAGUGAAAUGCGUAGAUAUCGGGAGGAACACCUGUGGCGAAAGCGGCGCACUGGACCAUAACUGACGCUGAGGCGCGAAAGCUAGGGGAGCAAACAGG